rnacentral:rRNA from 1 species
UAAAGAACCUGUCCUUAAGAGGGGGAUAGCCCUGGGAAACCGGGGGUAAUACCGCAUGUGCUCUAUGGACCGCAUGGUUUAUGGAGGAAAGGUAUGCGAAGAUAAUACUUAGCAUAUUACUUAAGGAGGGCUUUGCGGCCUAUCAGGUAGUUGGUGGGGUAAAGGCCUACCAAGCCGAAGACGGGUAGCUGGUCUGAGAGGAUGGUCAGCCACACUGGGACUGAGAUACGGCCCAG